CAUUAUUCAUCUUCUUCUUCUUCUUCUUUUCUUUUUGAUCAAUGAGUUGAAGGUUGAUAAGUUAGCAUUGGUUAGGGAGACUUAAUCUUCCUUGAUCCAAAUCUAAUUCAUCUUGAUCAAUUGAUCAAGUGAAUGGCUUUGCAUUAAGGAUAGGUUGUUUCCUAAAUCAUGCAAAAGGCUUAAACCAAUACAAGAUCAUUUCUCUUCUUCUUUUUGGCAUGACAAGUUGUUAGAACUUGGUUCACU
rnacentral:lncRNA from 1 species